CAUCAGAUGACUGAAAGCAAGUAAUGGUCUCUUAAACCAGUUUAUGAUAUCUUAGCGAAUAUCUCUGAUGA
rnacentral:tRNA from 1 species